AAUGGGUCAGCGACUUAUAUUCUGUAGCAAGGUUAACCGAAUAGGGGAGCCGAAGGGAAACCGAGUCUUAACUGGGCGUUAAGUUGCAGGGUAUAGACCCGAAACCCGGUGAUCUAGCCAUGGGCAGGUUGAAGGUUGGGUAACACUAACUGGAGGACCGAACCGACUAAUGUUGAAAAAUUAGCGGAUGACUUGUGGCUGGGGGUGAAAGGCCAAUCAAACCGGGAGAUAGCUGGUUCUCCCCGAAAGCUAUUUAGGUAGCGCCUCGUGAAUUCAUCUCCGGGGGUAGAGCACUGUUUCGGCAAGGGGGUCAUCCCGACUUACCAACCCGAUGCAAACUGCGAAUACCGGAGAAUGUUAUCACGGGAGACACACGGCGGGUGCUAACGUCCGUCGUGAAGAGGGAAACAACCCAGACCGCCAGCUAAGGUCCCAAAGUCAUGGUUAAGUGGGAAACGAUGUGGGAAGGCCCAGACAGCCAGGAUGUUGGCUUAGAAGCAGCCAUCAUUUAAAGAAAGCGUAAUAGCUCACUGGUCGAGUCGGCCUGCGCGGAAGAUGUAACGGGGCUAAACCAUGCACCGAAGCUGCGGCAGCGACACUAUGUGUUGUUGGGUAGGGGAGCGUUCUGUAAGCCUGUGAAGGUGUACUGUGAGGUAUGCUGGAGGUAUCAGAAGUGCGAAUGCUGACAUAAGUAACGAUAAAGCGGGUGAAAAGCCCGCUCGCCGGAAGACCAAGGGUUCCUGUCCAACGUUAAUCGG
rnacentral:rRNA from 1 species